GCCCCGGUGGUGUAGGUCGGUCAAGCAUAAGCGCCGAAAUCAUGCAGCCCUUUCGAGGCUGUGACGCGGGUUCGAAUCCCGCCCGGGGCA
rnacentral:tRNA from 1 species